GCUCCGAUAGUGUAGUCCGGCCAAUCAUAUUGCCCUCUCACGGCAAUGACCAGGGUUCGAAUCCCUGUCGGAGCA
rfam:Natronolimnobius innermongolicus JCM 12255 contig_91, whole genome shotgun sequence.